GACGAACGCUGGCGGCGUGCUUAACACAUGCAAGUCGAACGGGCUUCUGGGGUUCUGGCUUUUUUGGUUGGGGUUCUGGGGGUUAGUGGCGAACGGGUGAGUAACACGUGAGUAACCUGCCCUUCACUUCUGGAUAACCGCUUGAAAGGGUGGCUAAUACGGGAUGUUUCUGGGUCUGUCGCAUGGCGGGUUCGGGAAAGAUGGCACUGUUUGGUGUUUUUGGUGGGGGAUGGGCUCGCGGCCUAUCAGCUUGUUGGUGGGGUGAUGGCCUGCCAAGGCUUUGGCGGGUAGCCGGCCGGAGGGGGUGGGCGGUCACACGGGGAAUGAGAUACGGCCCAGACUCCUAGGGGGGGCAGGAGGGGGGAAUAUUGCACAGUGGGCGGAAGCCUGAUGCAGGGGCGUCGCGUGGGGGAUGGGGGCCUUGGGGUUGUGAACCUCUUUCGCCGGUGGGGAAGGCCUUGCCCGGGUGGGGGGGUUGACGGUAGCGGGGUUAAUGGAAGCGCCGGCUAACUACGU
rnacentral:rRNA from 1 species